UACAGAGGUCUCAAGCGUUGUUCGGAUUCAUUGGGCGUAAAGGGUGUGUAGGUGGCGCGCUAAGUCGGGUGUGAAAUCUCGGAGCUUAACUCCGAAACUGCAUUCGAUACUGCCGUGCUUGAGGACUGGAGAGGAGACUGGAAUUUACGGUGUAGCGGUGAAAUGCGUAGAUAUCGUAAGGAAGACCAGUGGCGAAGGCGGGUCUCUGGACAGUUCCUGACGCUGAGGCACGAAGGUCAGGGGAGCAAAACGGGG
rnacentral:rRNA from 1 species